UGGGGAAUAUUGGGCAAUGGAGGAAACUCUUACCCAGCUAUGCCGCGUGAGUGAAUAGAAGGUCUUCGGAUUGUAAAGCUCCUUGAUUAGGGAAGAUAUAGACGUGUACCUAAAGAACAAGCCCCGGCUAACUAUGUGCCAGCAGCCGCGGUAAUACAUAGGGGGCAAGCGUUGUCCGGAAUGACUGGGCGUAAAGGGUGCGUAGGUGGUUUUUCAAGUUGGAAGUGUAAUACCCAGAGCUCAACUCGGGUGCUGCUUCCAAAACUGAAAAACUUGAGUGUCGGAGAGGAAAGUGGAAUUCCUAGUGUAGCGGUGGAAUGCGUAGAUAUUAGGAGGAACACCAGUGGCGAAAGCGGCUUUCUGGACGAUAACUGACACUGAGGCACGAAAGCGUGGGGAGCAAACA
rnacentral:rRNA from 1 species